UUAUGAUUGAGGUCACAAGCCUGCAAGGUGCUGUCCUUGCCUUCCUGUCUGUCUCCACCGUGAGCUUCAUCUGUGCUCUCUGCAUACGCUGUAGGAAGAAAACUAUGAUUGUACAGGAGAGUAACCAACUCUAUGUUCCACAAAUAUUGUAAGAUGUCUGAGAUUAUUUUUUUCUGGUGAAUUUAUUACAGCAUUGUGCCAUUGCCAUUUCUUUGUUAACACACAAUAGUCAUCUCUCUUACUCAGGAUGAACUCGUGUUAACACAUCUGGUGUUAAGCAUGUAAUUGCAUGUCCAUCACAACCUUGAGACAGCUUUCUGAUCCAGCCAUGAGAAUGCUUUCAAUACGUUGAAAAGUUCUGGAAGUCAUUUAGAUAGAAAGUGUUCAUUUCCCCUAUGUAUGGAGACUUUGGGGACACAAUGUAUUAUAGUCUUUAAUAAAUAAUUGAUCUUUUUUGUUCUCAUUUAAAUGCUAUAUGUGUAAAUGAUAGAGCAAGAUAAAGGUUUAUAUUGUUUUAUUCUGGCUUUAUCCAGUCACCGAGGGGGGAGCAAAUUUGCUGUGACAAGGUCAAAAACAGUGACGAGAACUAACCAGAUGAGCACAAAUCCGUGUCAGAGUUCGGGGGAAAUAACUGUCGCACACACACCUAAGAGCCAGCUGGAGACAGCUGUCCAGGACCAGGGGGGCAGUUACGAGAACAUUAAACAAUCAAUUCAUGGUAGUAUGGAACCCACCUAUGUAGAUCCAAUAUCAACACCGCCACACAAUAACAAUGUUUUACAUGAUGAUGACAUCGGAGACUACGCAAAUAUUUUUCCAACGCAAGAUGUUCAACAUGACUCAGAUGAGCCAGAUUACGUCAACGCAGACACGGCUAACAACUAACACAUAAAUAAAGUUUUACACUGUUAUCCAAGUUAGAUUAAAUAAGUAUUAGAAUAUAUUGGCAUAUUUAAUAGCACAG
ensembl:lncRNA